AGAUUGAACGCUGGCGGCAUGCCUAACACAUGCAAGUCGAACGGGAGUAGCAAUACUCUAGUGGCGGACGGGUGAGGAAUACGUAGGAAUUUGCCCUUAAGUGGGGGAUAACCCGGGGAAACCCGGAUUAAUACCGCAUGACCUCGAAAGAGCAAAGUGGGGGAUCGCAAGACCUCACGCUUUUGGAGAAGCCUACGUCGGAUUAGCUAGUUGGUGAGGUAAUGGCUCACCAAGGCGACGAUCCGUAACUGGUCUGAGAGGAUGAUCAGUCACACCGGAACUGAGACACGGUCCGGACUCCGUACGGGAGGCAGCAGGUGGGGAAUAGUUGGACAAGUGGGCGCAAGCCUGACUCCAGCAAUGCCGCGUGUGUAGAAGAAGGCCUUAGGGUUAGUAAAGCUAAC
rnacentral:rRNA from 1 species